GGCUCCUCCCAUAGAGCAUGUUUGGUAGCCGUUAGACAUGUUGCAGUUGUAGUUUCUACGGAAACGACAUCUCGAUCUAUUGCGCAUUCUUUGGGUAGUAACUGCAACGUUUCUUUCAAAUGGGGCCUCAGUGUUGAACUCGAAGUCAUGUUCGCUGCACAAUUCGACGUUUAGGAAAGCAAUGGAAUAACAGAACGCACAAUCAUCUGAUUCGACGAUUGCUUGAGAGCUAAAUCUAUUAUGUGUGCUGAUGGUUUGAGGAUAAAUGAGGGAAUACACAGCUAACAAAGCUAGGUCUCACUUGGAUGAGGCUACAGAUAUCGUGUAUGUGCAUAUGCACAUGGUAGCUGACAUAGGAAGUGGCUGCAUCACAACUCCUACUUUACUUUUGCGUGUGGCCAUGCAAGCACCACAGAUAUGAACAAAGACAACAAGACUGUUGUAUUUGACAAGACAAAGAUGGAUUCAUGCAUGUUGCAAUAAGUAGUAUAUAUAUAUCUAUAAUCAGAAAUAAUUACAAACGAUAGUCAUAUCGUAGAUUGUUCUUGUUCUGUACUGGUGCUAAACUGCAGUUGGUUAUAUUUUAUAUAUAACAGACCAUUUCUAAUUACUGCAUAGCAUUAGGAUUUCAUACAAGUUGAUUUUCGCUCAGUUAGUGUAAUAAAUGAAAAGGUGAAAACGAA